rnacentral:rRNA from 1 species
CGCGGAUUAGCGGUAACGCAAACAAGCUUGGAGACGUCAGUACAGACUCUUGGAAGAGUUAUCUUUUCUUUUUAACUGUCUAUUGCCUUGAAAUUGGAUUAUCCAGAGCUAAGGCUGUAUGGCAGGAAGAGCAUCUCACUCUAUGAGAUGUCAGGUGCGUCUGUAAUGAUCCCUGAAAAUCCAAGUACGUGAUAUAUCGCGCCCAAUCGUACCAAUAACCGCAUCAGGUCUCCAAGGUGAAUAGCCUCUGGUCAAUAGAAUAAAGUAGGUAAGGGAAUUCGGCAAAAUAGAGCCGUAACUUCGGGAAAAGGCUUGGCUCUGAAGGCGUUA